UUGAGAGAAGCCAAAAUAUAGAGGCAUAUCACUGUUAAUGAUAAAAUUGAAAUUUUUUUCCUGUCAAG
rnacentral:tRNA from 1 species